rfam:Ciona savignyi cont_55466, whole genome shotgun sequence.
GAGGGAUUAUGACUGAACGCCCUUUUAUGUCAGGAAUUCCCGCCUGGAAAGCGACGAUGCAUUCGUGCCUCGGCCUCGAGAGGCGUAGCUAGACGGCCGUGUGGCCGUGGAAAGAGCCCGAUUCCGACCCGAGAGGCCGCGGCAAGAGGCGGCCUCGAAGUCGGUGGAUCCUCCUGCUCGAAAGGCGGGGUGCUAAACCAUUCGCAGACGACCUAGUUGAAGAUCGGGGUGUCGUGAUCACUAGAGCAGUACAUCUCACUGCGAUUUGUUGAGAGUAAGCCUCAAGAUCUGUCGGUUUGU